AGUGACUGUAUGUAGCAUUGCUCAUGAUAUAUUUACACCUCUUUUUUUAUUAUUUAAUUUUUUUUUUCUUUUCUUGUUAUUAAUUUAGGAAUUAAUCUUAGCAUCAGCCACCAUUUGGCUGAAGCCGGAGCACACCUUACGUGGCUGAGGUGAUUUUUCCUUUUUCUCCCUGCUGUGCAUUUCCGUUCCCACUUUCUGAUUUUCGCCUCAUUUCAAAUUCACCCAUCCUCCACCCCCGCGUUCUCCCACCCCCAUCCCGGAUCGACCAUCCCCACCCCUAACCCCACGUCGCCGUCGCCCACCCCCCCUUCGCAAAGUUGCCCCGUCGACCCUCUUGGCUUAGUUCAAAAUCUUCAUCUCUUCAUCCCUCUUCUCUCCAACAAAAUUUGUCUCCCCAUCUUCUCAAAUCAAUCCCCUCCAUUCCUUUACAUUUCCCUCAAAAUGUAAAUGAGCGAGCUGUAAAAGAAAGAAUCCGGAUUAAAUCUGUGAAAGAGAUCUACAGCGCCACUGGCUAAGGAGCUUGGGGUGAUGAGCGAGGUCAACCAUGAACAAAGAAUGAAGGGGUGAAGACAACGAAAAGGAUGGGGACGCUAUGCUGUGGAGUUUUACUUUUAUUGAAGCUUUGCGUUUUAUCCUUUCUGGUUGUUAGUCUAUCCCAUGUGUCCUGUAGCACGGCAAUGUUAGCAGUGGAGUCUGUUGGAGGGUUGUUAUUGAUUUUGUAUAUUCAUAUAAAUAGGAGAGGAAAGAAAGAGGGAAGAUUAUUCUGAAUUGUAAUCUCUGGAACUUUCCUUGGGAGGUUCAGGAAUUGCCUCGAAUGAAUUCCUGGAGUGAUGAAUGUAUGGACAUAUGAAUUUCAGUAAAUAAGAUUCAACCCAUUUCCUUUGCAA